GAUAAUUAGGUAUAGAAGAAUCUUUAAUAUAAAUAAAAUUAUAGAAAAAAUAAAUAGUUUAAUUAUAUAAAUUUAAUUAAUUAAAAAUAAUUAUAAAGGUGAGUAUUGUAAAAGAAGGAGAUUAUUUAAAUAGGAUAAAGUAAAUUUAAUUUAUUGUACCUUUUGUAUCAGGGGUUAUUAAAAUAAUAUUUUUAUAAUUAAAAUUUCUCGAAAUUAGAAGAGCGAAUAAAGUAUGAUAGUUAGUGUAGAAUAAUUAUUAUAAAUAUUUUAUUAGUGAAUAUAUUUUAGUCAAUUUUAAAGAUAUCUAGUUUUUUUUAUUAAAAUUGAAUUUAAUUUAAUUUUUAAUAUUAUUUAAAUGAAUAUAAAAAUAUUAAUAAAUUAGUGGUAAAAAUUAUGGGAUAAUCUAUAAUUUUUUUUAAAAUUAUUUAAAAUAAAAGUUUAUAAAAGUAUUCAUAAUAUUUGAAUUUUUUAGUAAAAAUUUAAUAAUUUAUAAAAUAGUAACAUAAUAUAAAAAGUAAUUUUUAAUAGGAGUUUAAUAUUUUAAAAAAAUAUUUAUUAAAAUGAUAGAAAUGAAAUAAUAAUGAUAGUAUUAGUAAAAUAUUAAAGUUUUAAUGGUAAAUAGGAGAAAAAUUAAUUUUAAUAAUUAGGCAAAAAGUAAGUUCACCUGUUUAAUAAAAACAUGGUUUUUUGAAUAUAAUUUAAAAUUGUUUCUGCCCACUGAGGAUAUUUUUAAAUGGCUGCAGUAUAUUAACUGUACAAAGGUAGCAUAAUAAAUAGUUUUUUAAAUGGAAACUGGGAUGAAUGAAGUGAUGAGAUUUAUACUGUUUUGGAUUAAAUUUAUUGAAUUUAACAAUUAAGUAAAAAUGCUUAGAUAAUAAUAUGGGACGAGAAGACCCUAUAGAAUUUUAUAUAAAUUUAUUAGAUUAGUUAUUAGAAGAUUAUAUUAGAUUUAUAUUUUAUUGGGAGGAUUGUUAAAUUAAUAAAACUUUAAUAGUAUUUAGAUCAUUAGUUUAUGAGAUUGAAAAGAAUGAUUUUUAAAUUUGAGUAGAAUUAAUUACCUUAGGGAUAACAGCAUAAUAUCUUUAGAGAGAUCUUAUUAAUAAAGAUGAUUGUGACCUCGAUGUUGAAUUAAGAUAAAAAUUAAAUGAAGGAGUUUAAUAUUUAAGUCUGUUCGACUUUUAAAAUCUUACAUGAUUUGAGUUUAGAUCGGUGUGAGCCAGAUCGGUUUCUAUCUAUAUUAAUAUUAAAAUUAUUUGUACGAAAGGACUUUAGUUUUUGAUAAUAUUGAUUAAAUAAAAAUAUUAUUACUUUGGCAGAUUAGUGCAUUAAAUUUAGAAUUUAAGAUAAAAUAUAUAAUGUUAU
rnacentral:rRNA from 1 species